GAUCCUGGCUCAGGACGAACGCUGGCGGCGUGCCUAACACAUGCAAGUCGAGCGAGUGGAGUUCUUCGGAACAAAGCUAGCGGCGGACGGGUGAGUAACACGUGGGCAACCUGCCUCAUAGAGGGGAAUAGCCUUCCGAAAGGGAGAUUAAUACCGCAUAAGAUUGUAGCUUCGCAUGAAGUAGCAAUUAAAGGAGCAAUCCGCUAUGAGAUGGGCCCGCGGCGCAUUAGCUAGUUGGUGAGGUAACGGCUCACCAAGGCGACGAUGCGUAGCCGACCUGAGAGGGUGAUCGGCCACAUUGGGACUGAGACACGGCCCAGACUUCUACGGGAGGCAGCAGUGGGGAAUAUUGCACAAUGGGGGAAACCCUGAUGCAGCAACGCCACGUGAGUGAUGACGGCCUUCGGGUUGUAAAGCUCUGUCUUCAGGGACGAUAAUGACGGUACCUGAGGAGGAAGCCACGGCUAACUACGUGCCAGCAGCCGCGGUAAUACGUAGGUGGCGAGCGUUGUCCGGAUUUACUGGGCGUAAAGGGAGCGUAGGCGGACUUUUAAGUGAGAUGUGAAAUACUCGGGCUCAACUUGAGUGCUGCAUUUCAAACUGGAAGUCUAGAGUGCAGGAGAGGAGAAUGGAAUUCCUAGUGUAGCGGUGAAAUGCGUAGAGAUUAGGAAGAACACCAGUGGCGAAGGCGAUUCUCUGGACUGUAACUGACGCUGAGGCUCGAAAGCGUGGGGAGCAAACAGGAUUAGAUACCCUGGUAGUCCACGCCGUAAGCGAUGAAUACUAGGUGUAGGGGUUGUCAUGACCUCUGUGCCGCCGCUAACGCAUUAAGUAUUCCGCCUGGGGAGUACGGUCGCAAGAUUAAAACUCAAAGGAAUUGACGGGGGCCCGCACAAGCAGCGGAGCAUGUGGUUUAAUUCGAAGCAACGCGAAGAACCUUACCUAGACUUGACAUCUCCUGCAUUACCCUUAAUCGGGGAAGUUCCUUCGGGGACAGGAAGACAGGUGGUGCAUGGUUGUCGUCAGCUCGUGUCGUGAGAUGUUGGGUUAAGUCCCGCAACGAGCGCAACCCUUAUUGUUAGUUGCUACCAUUUAGUUGAGCACUCUAGCGAGACUGCCCGGGUUAACCGGGAGGAAGGUGGGGAUGACGUCAAAUCAUCAUGCCCCUUAUGUCUAGGGCUACACACGUGCUACAAUGGCAAGUACAAAGAGAAGCAAGACCGUGAGGUGGAGCAAAACUCAAAAACUUGUCUCAGUUCGGAUUGUAGGCUGAAACUCGCCUACAUGAAGCUGGAGUUGCUAGUAAUCGCGAAUCAGCAUGUCGCGGUGAAUACGUUCCCGGGCCUUGUACACACCGCCCGUCACACCAUGAGAGUUGGCAAUACCCAACGUACGUGAUCUAACCCGCAAGGGAGGAAGCGUCCUAAGGUAGGGUCAGCGAUUGGGGUGAAGUCGUAACAAGGUACCC
rnacentral:rRNA from 1 species